GCCUGGGGAAAACAAGAGCGGAAGAUUGCCUCAGAAGCCAGGAACAGGAACAGCCAUGUUGCCCUCUAUCACCAUCACCCACACCACCAAAACUCCCUGGCACUGGAGAAACCCUUGGAAGAUCAACUACAAUGCAACCCACCAGACACAGAGCAGGGGCUACUCUAUUACUAGUGCUGAACUUGGGGUUCACUGGGGUCACAGCACAACAGCCCGAGCAGUCCCUCACAUCCAACUCUCCACAAACCUCCCUGAACACAAACCAAGCUUCUUCCUUCAGUGAAGAUGACAAGGAAUGGCACAUCCCAGCACAGGUGGAAACAUUCUCAUGAAAAGGUGGACGACAAACAAUUCAAGCAUAAGUUAAAAAAUAUGGUGACAGAGCAGGACAGGGGAAUGACAGGUUCCCCAGGAAGCAGCUGCUGCAAGGCCACCCCCAGAGCUAAUCAGCCAGUGUGGUGAUGGGACCACUGCUGUGAUGGGACCACCUGCUCUGCAGGUCUGAGAACAUCUCAGAAGGCAUGGAAACUGAAGAAGAGGAGCAGAGAUGAAGGCUGGAAUGGAAAAAGCUAAAAAGCUUCCUGAUAAUGAUCAUUGAGAGCAAGAGUGAGCACUGUGGGCUGGGCUAAUUGGGUCCAAUUAGUAAUGGGAAAGGUGCACACCUACACAGGCACAGGCAGUUUUAGUCUCUGAAACAGAAACCCACGGAUUCAACAUCUGAGGUGGUUUUAUGGAUGGAGGAAAAAUGAGGUUUGAUUUUGGAUUUCAGGAAGAGCUUUCCUUUGAAACAGACAGUCCAGCAACAGAAACGGAAAGAGCGGUGGCCUGGGCAGGGUGACUCAUGCCCACAAGGUUUGCUGGUCGCAGUGUCAGCCUUACAUCACCCUCACCUGUGAGCAGCAACACAGGCUGUGACCCUGCACCUCCUGCAACUCACCACAGCCUUUUUGGAGAAGACAGCACCCACCCUGACAGCAGCCCAAGGCAGGAAAGGUGAAGCAGGAGCAAGGAUGAACUUUGAGUGUUGUGUGAUACCCAAACACCAAACAGCCCAAGUUUUGUGGGCAAGAGCACUGCCCAGCUCACCUUCCCCAGCCCUGCUCUGAUGACAGCAGCCCCAAGGGAUGCUUCAAACCCUUCACAAAAUGGAGGAGGUAACAAGACCUUGGUGAAGCUUUAGGUCAAGUUGCCUGGUUUCCUAAGCUCAUAGCCAUGCAGUUUUCCUCUGAGAUUCUCCAGCCUCCAUUGUUUGCUGGAAUUUGCCCCAGUAAAUCCAAAACUACUUUAGCAAACAAGAGCAGAGACAGAAUGAGUGCAAAAGCCCCAUUUCCAACAGCUCUGAGAUGACCAGAAAGCAGCAUAGUCAGGUGAGCAAUGUGCAAAGCAGAGCAAGGCAGGGAGGUCCAGACCACCAGACCUCCCACAGAAAUGCUCUGUACCCACUGGAGGGUUUUACAGCAUCUCCAGACUGCCUGAGAGUCUCAAAGGACCAGUGCUCCCCUGUGCCCUGGCAGCCAGGCACACAUGAACUCAUCACCUCCUGCCUCUGCUGGUGGAGGUGGCAGCUCCAGAGGAAGUCAAGCAACAGCCCAAUUCCACAUAAAAACCAUAUGCAGUUGUCAAAGACCUUGUCCAAAACAACCUUUUAGGUGAUGGGGACCUGCUGGAGGUGGCUGAAGCAUGUGCAGGGCCAGGUUCCUCACCCUUGAGCAAAUUCAAGAGAUGGAUGAGCUUUAUGCCUGACUCCUGGAUGUUCCUGCACCACUGGCACAACCAGCAUGGCCAUACAUGCCAUGGAUGGUACAGAACACCUCACAGCCCACGUGCUGCACUCACCAUCACUGCACAGCACAGAAAGCACAGGGCAGCAGCCCUACCAUGGGGUGGUUUGUUCUGGCAUUUUUUAGGAAAAAAGGAAAACGCCGUGUGAGACGAGGCAUCAGGGAUGCUGCGGUGAGCGAGUUCCCCUGGGCAACCCCUGCAGUGGAGACCUGCAAACACCUCCAAGCCAAAGGGAGAGCAAGGGCCACUCUCUGGCCAGCUGUAGGAUAAGGUCUCUACAUUUUAAGAAAAUCUUAAUCCUGUAGGUUAUAAAAAAACAUGAGAUUUUAGCCUUGGAGAGGAGUGGCCACAAGAGCAGCCCCACUGAAGGCAGGUGAUUUGCUGGAGGUUCUACAGCCACAGACCUGGAGCAGGACUAUGGGGUGAGGACCCACUAGGGAGUAACCCCAAAUCCUGCUCAGACACCUUGCAGGAGACAUAGUGACCUACAAACCUGGUGCUGUGUCACCCAUCACCAACAAGAGCAUCUCCAGAGGGGAUUUGCUGCACAGCCAGACUGACAGAGCAAAGGUACCAGCAGUUUUAGAGCCAACCUUGAUCUGACCUUUUGGCAAAACUGUGCAGGAGUGAAAAAACCCCAAAGUCAUAUAGGUAGGAAAGAUGGCCAGGACUGCCUAUGGAAAGGUAGGGAUCUAACUCUUAGCUAUAAAGACAUUCAGCUAAGAAUUAGCAUUUCCUAAAUGGCUUUGAACAUCUGCUGGAUUUAUUCCUCUUGGGUAAACAGGACAAAUACCCUAUAAAAGUACAACUUGUAUCGCCAAGUAAAAUACUUUCAGCAGUUUUUACUUACUCUCUUUUAGGCCAUUCUCCCCCAGAAGUCCAUGCUGAAACUUCUGUUAGUUUUCAGAGAAGGAAGGAUAUUGCCUUUAAACCAAAAUGUGGGUGGCUCGUGGAAAUGGAGGCAAGACAGGCAGUUUUUCAGUCUGGCCAGUUUUUCAGAGUUUAGCCAUUGGCUAAACAAUGAUCUUAAAGAAGAAAUCAGUUUAUUGUGUGAGCCAGCAACAAACCCUCAGCAAAGAGGCCAUGGGGUGGAGGGGUCAGAGGGAAUAACCUCAGCUCUCCCCCUGCAGCAGCAGUGGAAAUGUACUGGGUGGGCAGGGGAGGGAAUUUGCAUUGCACCUGCCUGAGUCUGAAUUAACAGAGGAUUUACAGUCCUGGAGUUGCUAGCCAGGAACCCCUCCUGACAAAAGGACUUACAAAAAGAAAGGAAGAAAUGCAAAAGCAAAUUUGGUAUUUGCUACGUUCCUGCCAAGUAAUGGGAGGAAGGCAGACACAUUUUUCACUUCGCUUACAAAAUCAAAAUCUAACUUUGUUUAGACAGCACAACGGGGCUAAAGAGAAACCCGAGCAGCACUUUUUGAAGAGGAACCUGUCAAAAUAGUAGCCGUGUUUCAAAGCCAGACAGUGUUUACUUUCCACUCAGUGCAAGAAAAAUACAGGGAAGAGAGGAAGGUUCAUUUUACACGGGAAGUUCUCACUGAUUUUAUUAAGAAUCUCCUGCUUAAAUGAUCAUUUGACAGCGGGAAAAAUAAACCCCUCCUGUUCUGAGUUUUGUGUGGGAGCCGGUCCAAAAAAACCUUUGUGCCAAAACCAUCUUUGGAACAACCCCAACAGAUCUCAGUGGAUGGCUACUGUACAGCAGCUAAAAACUGGCCUCAUCCUGGUGAAAUAAUGGAGACAUCUUCCUUUCUCCCAGGAAGCCCAGGUAUGGAGGGGGAGCAUCCUGGUCAGGAGCUGUGGGGGAGGAUGCUAACAGAACCAUUCCCCCCUUCCAAAUCAGUGAGUGCUUUGUAAUGCUGGAAAAGGCAGCAGUGAGUUAUCCAACGCUUUGGUUCCACUGGACGCUGAGUAUCUGCAGCUCCUGGUGUGGUCUUGGCAGGGGAACUCCUCCUGAGCUCAGGACACUCUACAGACUGAUGCUGAAGGGUGCCUAAUGUCCCCCUGGCAUGGGAAGGACCCAGAUGCCCAAACCACCUGGAGAUGCCAGGACCAAAUUCCUGGAGCUGGGCUGUUUCCCUGGCAGCAGGGACUCAGGGGAGCUGGGUCCCUGAGGAAGCAGUCAGUCCCUGCUCAGGCUCAAGCAGUAAGUCCAUCCCAGGGGAGACAAGCAGCUCAGCUCGGUUGGUUCACAGUGGAAAAGUGCAAACACCAGCCAGACAGGGCAGGAGGGAAGGGCAUCUGCAGCACAAUGUGAUCCCUGCACAGCAAUUCCCAUCCAAGCCACCCUCCCACUGUGGGCUUGUCUCUGAUCACUCACCUUCAGGCAGAGCAAACACCAUGGGCACAGCAGCCAUGCUGUUCUCAAGUACAUCCAUAACAUUUUGGGGAAGGGCAAUUCCACAGCACCAAUGGGCAAUGCAGACAGCCCCAAAACACCAUCAGCAGAGCCUCAACACAGCUCCCCAUCAUUGGCUGGCAUCUGCACCCCACUGGUGAGGCUCCCAGCUCACCUACCCCCACUGUCCCUGGGAGGAACUGCUGGCUCCCAUCCCACUGCUGCAUCAGAGAGGUUUGGACAUGAACCCCAAGGCAUUUUGGGGAACACAGGUCCCCAAGGGCAUUUCCAGCUAUCUAACACCUUGUCUGCAAGAGAGGUGAGCUUAAAAAUCUGUCCUGGCAAACUACUCUGUGCCUGUCUCCUUCUGAGAACUGUGAAUGCUAGGCCGGGUUUAAAGAGCAUCCUGAAGUCCCCUGUGAUGCCUCCAAAACCCACAGAAGCUGGCAGUGACAGCACAUGGCAGGGAUGCUGCUGGCUGGGAUAAUGAGGAGGGGGUCCAGCUCAGGAAUAAAGUGCACAUAACACUCUGGGUGCCAGGGAAUGGAUGUGCAAUGUGGGGUCCCCAGUAGUGCAAACACCAUUUGUGUGUGUUCAGGCUGCUGAGUUGUACCUCUGGUCCAGUGAGGACAGGCAGAGCAACUCAGAGCACGCCAGGGACUGGGAUUUGCAGGGCCCACAUCAGCCCAGAGCACACCCUGGGGCCCCCCAGCCCUCCUGUGCCCCACCGCUGCCUGGCCUUGGCUAUCAGCAGCAAUCUGCAUGGGCCCGACUCACAGACAUCUCAGCACACAUGUUCCUCAGCCUCCAAAACUUCAGUCAAAGGAGACUUUUGUCAAGGAAAGCUCAGCCCAGACAGUUCCUGAAGAAACCCCAACCAUGUGAUGGCUUCAAACACAACUCCAAAGCCACAAACACAACAACCGUCGGAAGCGGCUGCCAAAGCACCAGAUGCUGCUGCUGGAAAAACUCUUCUGCAGCCACAGGGGCUGCUCUGCCCUGCCACAGGAGGCACAGGAGGAGAAGGAGGAGGGAGCAGGAGCUCUGGGCUCCGCCACUGCUUGUGCAAAAGGAAAAAAAAAGUAGGACAAAAGGAAACCAGCUUUAUUUCAGCUCCUUAAUAAAAGUUGGCAGAGGCUUUGCA